rnacentral:lncRNA from 1 species
GUGCAGCCCAGCGGUCCAGUCAACAUGAAAGAGACCAGGCCUGAAGGAGGGUACUUCAGCAAAUACUCAGAGGCAGCCGAGCUGAGAAGCACAGCCUCCCUUCUGGCUACUCAAGAGUCUGAUGUCAUGGUUGGGCCCUUCAAACUGAGGUCAAGGAAGCAGCGGACUUUGUCCAUGAUUGAAGAAGAGAUCCGGGCAGCCCAGGAAAGGGAAGAGGAGCUAAAGCGGCAAAGACAAGUGAGGCAAAGCACCCCAAGCCCCAGGGCUCAGAACGCCCCAUCGCUGCCUUCCAGAACCACCUGCUACAAAACUGCUCCAGGUCCUGGAGGCCACUCGGGUUAAUCGAAGGAAGAGUGCUCUGGCCUUGCGCUGGGAGGCAGGGAUUUAUGCCAACCAGGAGGAGGAGGACAAUGAAUAAACUUCCUUCAGCCCAGGAAACUCCUUGGCCAAAGAGUUUCCGCAAAGAAACCAAGAAAUUAUUGAAUCAGACGCAUUUUAAUAGACUACUUAUUAAAGUGCAUACAAACUCAAUAACCCUCAUGUAGACCAGAAGCUGCAAUACACAAUGAUAAUAAAACAAAACGAAACACAAAAAAGCAAAGCGAAGCGAACAGGAAGUUCACCCAUCAAACUCUGAGACGGGGCAGAGGAGAAAGGGUGUCUUUGUGACUCAAAGAAAGCCUUGGCUUUGGACCAUUCCACAACUGAUCCAAAGGGACACAGACGGGACAAGCAAGUCCACGUAGUUGCUGCAGGCAGAACUGAAGCCAGCCUCGGCUGGGCGUUACGGAGGAGCAAACAGGCCAUUCCAAGGCAACCAACAGGCCCCAGCCUGGUGCAGCCUACAGCACACAGGCUACCCCUCCACCAGCUUCCCACCCCUUUCUCCGUCAAGGCAUCAGAAGUGUUGGGUUGACUCCAUUUUCUCCAGCAGCCAUAAAAACAAAUGGUGUUCCUUUCCAUAGUUGCCCCAAAAGGAGGCAACAAGGAUUCGAUCUCUCUUAUAUGUAAUCAUUUGAAAUUGGGAGCACCUAAUGGUCACAAUAUAUAUAAAGUCUGUAUUUUUAAGGCAAUAUCUCUUCACGUUGCAGACGCAAUCUAUCCUACAGCAGGAGGUUGAGGACGGUGGGGGAGAGAGCCAAACCAAAAGGGUUAUUAGCUUUAGGACCUUGUCUGCUUUUAUCGUUGACUGAUCAGUUUAGGGAAACACACUUUCACGGUUACGUUUCUUCAUAUGAAAAGUAUAUUUAGUGAGCAAUGACUAUUUUUAUGAUGGGAUGGGGGAACAGGGACACGGGAUAAAACCUGUACACAUUUGAACGGCUUGGUUCAAGAUGGUAGGGGUAUUUUUAGAAUGGCAAUAAUUGAAAAUAAAAGGGGGCAGACUCUGCCUUCAGGAAGGUAGAUGACCAGAAAUAAGGUGUUUGUAACUAUUUUCUAUUUUAAAGUGGGCCUUAGAGGUGGCUGUGGCAUAGGAUGAGCUGUUUUGGAUCUGAGAAAGGCAACCUUAAACGCAUGGAGAUAGGAAGAGAAAGGGGCGAGAGAGACAAAGAAUGGGAAAGGAAGGAAGGAAGGGAGAUUAUUUUUGCUGAACAACCAGUGUUUUCCAGGACGACAGAGAGAAAAAUAUAGCAUAGAAAUUUAAGUACACAUGUGGAAUCAGCUACAAAUCCUAAAGAUGGUGUGUAUGCCUUUGUGUGCUUGUAUAAGGCAUGUAUGUUGGUGAGUAAAUAUAUGCCAGCGUGGGGUGUGUGUGUGUGUGUGUGUGUGUGUGUGUGUGUGGUGUGUUGACCGUGACACAUGGGUGUACAGUAUUUCCUCUGUAGCUGCCUGUCGACUUCAGGAGUGAGUGACAGUUUUCUUUUUUUAUGAAAAGGCACAGGGAAGACACAGGGCUGAUGCAGUAUUCCUGAUGUCAAGCUGACUGAACUAUGGCAUUUGCAUGAGUGACAGUCGUGAAGUUUCCAGCAGUUUUGUAUUGAUAAUUUGACAUUUAGUACACACCCUAUUUAUUCUCAUGCUUUCUGUCCGUGCCUCGUGUACCACAGAGGACACCGGCUUCAUUCUUUCUGUCAUUUCAAGCAAUAUGAUAAGGACGUUCACUAAUCGGGUGCCCUGAGUUUCUGAAUGAGAAAAUGUUUCAUUUCUGGCCAGGAAGGGGAGGUGGGAGGAGGGGGAGAAGGCAUGGAAGGGGAAGGAGGAAGAAAAAGAAGAACUAACCAGCCUUCAUUAUUUUUCCUUUAUUUUUAAGCUAUUUCUUACAAGCAAUAAUUAAAUCAUACCUUGCUAAAAUUCAUUUUUGUUUUUAUGUUAUUAUGUUAUAAGAUCUAAUAUGUUAUUCUAAUGAGUAGCGACUCCACAAUACUUAUAUGCACACUCCACACACUAUCUUGGCUUUUUUGUUUUGUUUUGUUUUGUUUUCUUUAAAUUAGGCUAGUGUGACUUUAGGGAAAAGCUUACUCACUAGUAAGUAGUGGGCACAGGUAAAAAGAUGGAGUUGUCUCAUGGCUUAUAGGGAUGCUUAAAAACUACCAAGGGAACGUGUAACUCCAAGACAGAUUCUGCAGUCGCUAGCCAAAAUCGUACGCCGGAAGUGCGCGCCGUCUUUAGAUGGUUCAUUCUUUUAGACAUAAUGUUAUUAAAAAUGCUAGCCACUGAGGACAGAAAGCAAAGGCAGAGAACUGUGCUGCAAGGAAUUUGCUCUUCAGUAAGGGAGGUGGGCCCAGAAGCAAAUGUUCCGGAACAGAACGUGACAUCCAUGCCAGAUUAGAAGUCCUGCUAGGUAGAUGGGCACACGGGAGAAGGGCCAUUUUUGUCGAAGGACUUCCCGCCGGAGGCUGUUUACACGGUGAGAUGAAGGCUCCUUCCUUAGGGACACACAGGAAUCAGGACUCGUGGGGGGCGGGGAGGAGAGGGGUAGCUGCAGUGUCCUGGGACCUCCGCCCCACUCUGGAGAGCAGGGUAGUACUGUGAGUGCUACAGAAAGCAAGCUCCUUCAUGAUUUCUGGUAUGUGCUAGCGACUGUGGAAGCAUCACAGACCAACUCGCCCAUUUUUCACAAAGGGAAACCGUCCCCUUGGCUUCCUUAAAUUUCUUGUCCUGUUUAGAAGGGAAAUGUGGACCCUCGUGGAGGGUACACUGAGGAAAGACUUGGCAGCCAGAGCCCACGCACUCCUUGGAGUUCCUUCGGUAGCAGAUGAAGUGGUCUUUUGACUGCAGUAGAUUGGAUAGGAAGUUCGAACGCUGAGGGAUUAGGCUUGUCUGUAGGUGAGGAGACACAAGUCUCUUCCUGCUUACAGGGCUUUUAUCACUGGCCUCUCCAUUUCCAAGUUUUGCUGGUUUCCCUGAGCUGCCUCUAAAGACUGCCAUCUGUUUCCUUGCUCCCCUCGAUGACAGUUCUAGUGUAUUUUGUUAGGAUAGAAACCGCAUCUCCAUCAGAGAGAGGUAUUUUUUGUUCUGUGUUCUUUGGGGUAUUUUUUUUUAUUUGGGGUGGGUGGGGUGAUUUAUUCGUUUUCUCAUUCAGGAAACAUUUGAGCCAUUGCUUUGGACAUAUCACUGUGCUAGGCUCUAGGAUCCCACGUGGGCCCCUGUCACCUUCCCAGUAUGGAGCAGAUCCCUGGAGGAAAAGUCUUUUCUGCCCCAUAAGCCUGAGAUGAAGAGGCUCCUGGUUACUUUUGCCUCGGAUGCUCGGCUCUACCCUGCACCAGUACACAAGCUUGUUAGUCUCAGCUGUAAGAAAUGUUUAGCUUCUGUAGAUGUUAAAAACCUUCCUGAAGGAAUUCCACACUGCAGUGUUUAUACUCGCACUUCCCUCCAGAGCCUAUGACUUGACAGCCUUGGCUUUCUCAUCUAGAAAUGAGGGAUGCAGGGUCUGUCAUCUGUGGCAGAGGCUGGGCGGCACUUGGAUGACAUAGUGCAUGUCCCUUCCUCUUACCCAUGCAUGCUGCCCACCCUAGGCAAUGGCAUAGAAGCAGUAUAUAGAUCAGUGUCCACACACACACACACACAUACACACACACACACACACACAAACAAGGAACACCAAAACAGUGUUGAUUGUUGUGUUUAAAGACAUGUUUUUUUUUCACCUGAAGAAUGGACUUAAACUAUGUAUUGAAAAAAAAAUAGCCUAAGUGUUAGAAAUGGUGAAUGUAUCCAGUUUCAGUUACAAAAACGAUUUCCUGAAUUUUAAGCAUUCAGUGAGCUGCCAAUUUUGAUUUUGUGUUGCUCUUUAUCCAAAUGGCUUUUUCUUUUCUUCUUUCUUCUUUUUAUAAAUUGGAGGAAGUGGGGGUGGGGCGGGGAGCAGCAAUAUUGUGUUUGACAAAUUAUACUCUGUACCUGGCUUUCCUGUGUUCUGUUAACCACCGAGAUGUUUCUAUUCCGUUUUGGUUUUAUAGUGUCUGUGAGGCACUCGAUGCAACCAUACAGUUAUUUUCUCAUUAAAACUCAGCGUGUGCAGUGUU